rnacentral:rRNA from 1 species
CCUACGGGCGGCAGCAGUAGGGGAUAUUGCACAAUGGGGGGAACCCUGAUGCAGCGACGCCGCGUGGGUGAAGAAGCGCCUCGGCGCGUAAAGCCCUGUCAGCAGGGAAGAAAAUGACGGUACCUGAAGAAGAAGCCCCGGCUAACUACGUGCCAGCAGCCGCGGGAAUACGUAGGGGGCAAGCGUUAUCCGGAUUUACUGGGUGUAAAGGGGGCGCAGACGGCGAUGCAAGCCAGGAGUGAAAGCCCGGGGCCCAACCCCGGGACUGCGCUUGGAACUGCGUGGCUGGAGUGCAGGAGGGGCAGGCGGAAUUCCUGGUGUAGCGGUGAAAUGCGUAGAUAUCAGGAGGAACACCGGUGGCGAAGGCGGCCUGCUGGACUGCAACUGACGUUGAGGCCCGAAAGCGUGGGGAGCAAACAGGAUUAGAUACCCGAGUAGUC